UAGCAUUUAUCGAUGUGUAUCGAUACUGAUGAGUCCGAAAGGACGAAAUGCUAU
rnacentral:hammerhead_ribozyme from 27 species